rnacentral:rRNA from 1 species
CACGUAGGGCGCAAGCGUUGUCCGGAAUUAUUGGGCGUAAAGAGCUCGUAGGCGGUCUGUUGCGUCCGCUGUGAAAACCCGGGGCUUAACCCUGGGCUGGCAGUGGAUACGGACAGACUAGAGGUAGGUAGGGGAGAAUGGAAUUCCCGGUGUAGCGGUGAAAUGCGCAGAUAUCAGGAGGAACAUCGGUGGCGAAGGCGGGUCUCUGGGCAGUAACUGACGCUGAGGAGCGAAAGCGUGGGGAGCGAACAGG